UCAUUCAGAAAGGACAAAAUAGUAGUUCGUUGGUUACAGACCAUUGCCGCCGCCACCUAGGGUUUAGUUUCAUCCCAUCGUUUUUGUGCAUCUCUUCUAGCGUUUACGGCGAUCGCAGGUCUAAAUAACCAAUUGAGGUCUUCCACAGUCGAAUUUCCUGUUGAAUUUUAGUCGAAUCCGAUGACUUUUAAGACAUUAGCUUUGUUGCUCUGUUUAUUUCUUAUGGGCGGCCGCGACAUCAAUUUCUAGGGUUUCGCCUGUUAGGGAUUUCGUGAUAUUGCUGGUGAUGGAUUGGAUGUUCUGGUGGAGACACUUCGAGAUGAAAACUCAGAUGGUCCCCAUUCCUUUAACCGACUGGUGAUGCAUUUGCUGUCGGUAGAUGAGAAUUCUGCUGCUGUUAUGAAAUGGAAGGUGGAGUAGUUUGUCAAAUGGUGGGAAGCCCACGUGAACACCUUUUAACCUCCAUUUUUCCAUGAUUCAGGACCACGGGACCUGAGUUAUGAUUGUGAAUCUGUGAUGAUGGGUGGAUUUUUGUCCCUGUUACCUGAGUUGCAGAUAGUCACCGUGCGAUGCAAAAUAGGAACGAAAACGUGGUAAGUUCCGUGUCCUAAAUUUUGGUAGGGGAGAGAUCGUCCGACAUUUAUACAGGUUAUAAUGGUUGAAAUUUGCUUCUUUCAAGAGAGAAAAAUAUCGUAAAUCAGAUUACUAGGGACACGUUUGAGAUAAUAAUAAGGGAAAACUUCUGGGAUGAUCAAUUCGAACCGCAAAAAUUACAGUUCCAAAAUGUAGGUGUUUUGUAUUUUGGUGCUAAUGUACCGAAAAAAAAUAAACGUAAGUUACUAGGGUAAUAGCACAUCCCGUAAGACAUGAUUUUUAUCUACAUUUUCACCAGUGUAAUCAGGUCUGGUAACAUGGGCAGAGACGUUCAGAGGGGAAGAUUAAGAAGACAAGAAAACAUAACGACUGACAUUAUAGAAAGGGAUGUGUUGGAGGAAGCUGAAAAGAUGGUGACAGAUCAGGUGCUGCGGUUUUGGCUUUGCGAGUCUAGUUUUGUUGCUUCUUCCAUUUCAGAGGGAGGGAGAGAGAGAGAGAGA